CCUUCCUAUCGGGGCCGCUGGAAGAAGCCAAACACGGUCACGUGGAGCCUGGAGAAAGAUUGUCAACAUUCAGGAACUGACUCUAACGCGUCCUCUCAUUGGCUGCUGGGAAUUAGAGGCGGGGCCAACCUGGGUCUCCGGUUUUCAGGCGUGGGAUAAGUGGAUGGCGUUAUCUAGAAUGGAGAACACUGAUGCAGAGAGUCUUAGGCGACCCCUGUGAAUGCCUUCAGUUAACAGGGUACCUUUUCCCACCAGAACAGGAAGGCCUGUUCUCCAGCCUGCUCGGUUUUCUAAAUGUGUGAUGCCCUCUUGAUUGUGGUCCCGGCCUGUAAGAUGCCCCAGGACGCUGCGGGAUACCCCGUGUGGUUCGGCAAGAUGAUGCGUUUGCCAGAUCUCCGCGCCCGCUGCUCACGGAGGCCGAGAACACCGGAGCCUCUGCACCCUCCUCCUCUGAUUUUCAUUUCCUCUGUCAUUCGCAGUCUAGAGAAAGAGGGUGUGAAACACUGUUGCGGUUCUUAAAGAGAGGAGUGUGUCCCUUCUGCCAUUUUUUUCCUACUGGUGGAAUAUCCAAUAACUUCAUUUUUAACAGAAAUCAGCAGCUGGAGAUUUGGCUGCUGUUUUUCAAGAUCCGCGUCUUUAAUUGGCAGCAGGGUGUUCUUUAGAUCGUUUUCUCCCUUCUUCUUCGGUUCAGAUUAUGUCACAUGACCAAUGAAGGAAUUGGGGGGUGGGGGGUAGGUUGAUUAUCCCCAGUGCCGCCACAGGCACGAGGGGUUUAGACGUUCUCUGGCAUAGUCACCGCCGCCACCACCCCAGGGUGCAGGAAACAGACCCAGACCGACCUUUGUAAAGCAAACUUGCAAUACUUGUAACCGUAGAAAGAAUUCAAGGAUGUGAGACCUUCAUGAAGGCCAGUAACUUGAAUGAUUUUUUUUUUAUUUAAACACUGAUGUACUUUUGGGGGGGUUGAUGGUGCAAGCAUAGCAUAAGGAAACGGGAUCAAUCCUCGUGUUGCUGAAGGAGUCUCACUCCUCGUUACAAACAAGAAGGUGUCCGUCUUUAUUACCAACCUGCAGCAGAGAGAGAUAAUGAAGCAGUUGUCGUGGCCCAAUGGAAGAAAGACGGGGGGGAGGGGGAAGAAAAGUCUCUUAUCGGUGUUCCCACUUGCAAAAACACCCCGAGAAUUUUUCUCCUCUCCCAUUUAAAUAUAACGCUAACAACCCGGCUGGAGUCGAUAAACGUCUGCACGGGAGAGGAAGGAAGACGAGUCAGCGAGGGGGCACUUGCGUGUAAUAACGCCUCUCCCCCCCCCCCCCGCGUUCAUUUCCCUAUUUGCAUCCCCUGUUGGCUGAAGAUCGUGUUAAUAAAUAACAAUGAAAGGGAAGCGCAUCUAUCUAGAGGGCUUGUCGGCAACAUUUAAAAAGCCAAUAGAGUUUAUAAUUCUACUCUAUCAUUUCUUAUUGAUUAGAGUAAUCAAGAUAAAAAGCUAGCCGGGCUCGGCGAAGUUCAGAGGCAUAUAAUUAAAGAUAAGAGUCAGUUAAUUCUGGAGCAGGGAGAGAGAGGGUGAUGGUGCCUGCGCUGAAGAGUUCAUUUGCAUGAGAUGCUGAGCCCAGUAACAAGAGGACAAAAAUCACUAAUUAGGGCUCGCAGAGGGCCUCCCGCGCUCGUCAAGCACCCUUCGCAGCCGCCGCCAGGAUGCGCAGGGCGCGCUUUUAUGUAAAUCCGGGCCAGGACACCGCAGUCGAAAGGUUGCCUGUCAGCAGAAGCGGCCACUCCGGCUCCAAAGAAAGCGGCAGCCGCCAGCGACGGCCCACUGGCCGCCUGAACAACCCACGCCGCUGAGUGGGGGAGCCCUUGGCCCUUCCAAAGCCCCCCCCCCCCCGCCCGCUUCAAUUCUCUCCCCGCGGCUGGAAAUCACGACUGAGCAGUCAACAUUUGCUGCGUGGUUUCAAAACAAAAAAAAACCCUCGUCCCCAGCCCGGUCACCCCCUCCCCAAGUUGAGCCAAAAUUGGCCAUUGCAAAAUAGUUUUUUGUUGAGUCAGUGUCGAGGAUACGAUCAGGAUACGUGGGUUUAUCAAAAUUCGACGCAUGUUCGGAAUCCGACGCGGCCAGAAGGAAAGAUUUCUGGAAGACUCAUUUACAGUCAGUCUGGGAUCAUCCACCUACUUCCUCUUAAAAAAAAAACUUACUUGACUGCACUUUGGCCACUUUAGGUAGCCAGUCACUGACAAUUUCUUUAUAGGAAAGCAGGCUCUAACAAAUUCCAGCGUUUAUUUUAAACAAUUCUUUUUUGGGGAGGGGGGUGCCAUUUAAGCGCAUCUCCCCACUUUCCUUUCUGGCCUGCUAACGGUUCCAGAAAAGUAGGUGUAAAUAAGCCUUGUUAUAUCAGGGCGAAUGGGUUUCCUCCGGCAUUCGACCUGCGAAGAUGUAUCUGCACAAACGUUUGAGUGGCACAGACCUCUUCAAGAGUCUAAAAGGAAGCUGCAGCCCUUCACCAAUACGACCACGAAGGGGGAAAAUGCUUCAUCAGUUGCGCACAUCGCUUAGUUGCUAGAGACCCAUAAGAAAGCAAUUCAGCAAGUUAGCAUUUGCUGUAGGUUGGACUGCCCUUUUUUGAAGCUCAAAACGGGAUAAAAUCGUCAAGUCCACCUUCUCCUAGGAGAACUUGGUGCUCAAGAACAGAAGCCGCCAAGCAGGACGACCAGCAGAAAUUUGCAUAUUUCCUCACCGUUUGUAAUGCUAAAGGGGGAGGGGCGGAGAGAGAGAUUUAAACUACACUAUGUAGUAGACCUGUAGAAAGUAGAUUUCUCCCUAAAUCCUAUACAGUAAAACAAAAUAAAAAUCAGUUCGUUCUCUGUCCCAUGUGCAGGUGGACCGAUUUAAUUUUAACACUAAAGCUGAAACUUCUAAAAACAGAAAUGGAUCAAAAUGAACUGUAAUAAUUUAUUAUGAGUCAGAAAGUUCAAUUAACGUAUGUUUAUUUGUAGUACUUUGGAUAGCAAUGUUUUAAGGUCAAAUGAGUACUGUGAAAUUAAUGUAUUUUGACGCUACCCUCUUUUCUCUCCCCCAUGGCCCAGAUGACUUAAGAAUGGCCCAAAAGAAGCAACAUCCCUGCAUUUUAAAGGAACCCCCGAGCCCACCUGCUGAGAUAGU